rnacentral:rRNA from 1 species
UACAGAGGGUGCAAGCGUUGUUCGGAAUUAUUGGGCGUAAAGCGCGUGUAGGCGGCUUUGCAAGUCGGGUGUGAAAGCCCUCAGCUUAACUGAGGAAGUGCGCCCGAAACUGCUUGGCUUGAGUACCGGAGAGGAUGGUGGAAUUCCCCAAGUAGAGGUGAAAUUCGUAGAUAUGGGGGAGGAACACCGGUGGCGAAGGCGACCAUCUGGACGGAUACUGACGCUGAGACGCGAAAAGCGUGGGGAGCAAACAGG